GACGAACCGUCCAAACGUUAUUCGGAAUCACUGGGCUUAAAGGGUGCGUAGGCUGUCCGGUAAGUUGGGUGUGAAAGCCCUCGGCUCAACCGAGGAAUUGCGCCCAAAACUGCCGGGCUCGAGGGAGAUAGAGGUGAGCGGAACUAAGGGUGGAGCGGUGAAAUGCAUUGAUAUCCUUAGGAACACCAGUAGCGAAAGCGGCUCACUGGGUCUCUUCUGACGCUGAGGCACGAAAGCUAGGGGAG
rnacentral:rRNA from 1 species